UAUCAACAAUAAUUAAACCAAUAUUAAUGUUAAAAAUAUAAAAUUAAUAAAUAAUAAAGUAAAAUAUCAGUACUUAACCUCAAAUAAAUACUUACACCAAAAGAAAUUCUGUUACGGGGCAUUCCACACUUGACAGAGUCAAGGUGUCUGACAAAUUGACGGUUCACCAUUGCAGUGCGACUCAAAAUUUUUGAUCCAGCAGUAAUCAUCUUGAUUUUUUAUUCAACAAAAUUGCUCCAAUAAAUUUUCUGAUUGAUUGUGAUUGUGUAUUAAAUUUUUCAUACACUAAAGUAAGUGUCUGUAUAUAUAAUAAACCUGUCCUUGAAGCUGGAGAAAAACGAACGAUCAUAAGCGCCACUGCUGUCGCUUUACCGAAAUACUUGACAAUAAUUAAGAAAGUGAAAAUGGAGCUGACAGGUCAGCGAUUAAUAAAUAAUAAAUAACAAAGAUGGAGUUGAAUGCUCAUUUGUAUCAACGUCAUUUGAAAUCAAUACUGGAUGAAAAAGACAGUUUGAUGAAAAUGGAAAUCAUUUAAAAAAAUUAAAAAAAAACUAAUGAAAAAUUGAACUGAAGAUGAAAUUAUAUAAGACCUAAAAUUUAAAAUAAGAAAAAGAAAAACUUACCACAAAAGAAACUCUGUUUCUUGGCAUUCCACAACUGACAUUUCUAACUUGUCCAGUACUGCGAAUUACUUGCUGACCACAUCUCAACCCAUUCACCAGAGAGAACAUUUUGAUAAUUUAUUUUAUUAAUUUUAGACCACUAAUUUAU